rnacentral:tRNA from 1 species
GACCGCGUAGCUCAGUUGGCAGAGCAUUGGGCUGGUAUUCCAAAGGUGGUAGGUUCGAUUCCCACCGUUGCCA